UCGGCCUGUGGUACAGACCUAUUUAUGCACGACAUCCUGAGUAAAGAAGUUUCAAUCCAAGCGUUAUCGUUGAUAGCCCUUCUGUGACGAAUUUCCUUUUGAGUGCCUCAUAAGUAAUGGCUGAAAGCCGGCUAUAUAUCGCCUUCGGCGUCACAUUUUUAAUAUUAAGGAAUUUAUCAUGACUAUGAUGAAAGGUCAGGUUAAGUGGUUCAACGAGUCUAAAGGCUUUGGCUUCAUUACUCCGGCUGACGGCAGCAAAGACGUGUUCGUACACUUCUCUGCCAUCCAGGACACCGGCUUCAAGACCCUGGCUGAAGGCCAGAACGUACAGUUCUCCAUCGAGAACGGUGCUAAAGGUCCGUCAGCGGCUAACGUUACCGCUAUCUAAU
rnacentral:sRNA from 1 species